GUAUCCUUCGCGAAUGAUCAAAACCCUGAACGCACUUCGACGUCGCCGCUCGCCGCUCCCCUAGGGAUGCCGCUGGCUCGUCAUGCAUUUGCGCUCACGGUUCGGUUUGUUCAAGCGCACGAAAUGAAGCCACGGCAAUCCGUGGCUUUUGU
rnacentral:ncRNA from 1 species